rnacentral:rRNA from 1 species
CCUACGGGAGGCAGCAGUGGGGGAUAUUGCACCAUGGGGGGAACCCUGAUGCAGCGACGCCGCGUGGGUGAAGAAGCGCCUCGGCGCGUAAAGCCCUGUCAGCAGGGAAGAAAAUGACGGUACCUGAAGAAGAAGCCCCGGCUAACUACGUGCCAGCAGCCGCGGUAAUACGUAGGGGGCAAGCGUUAUCCGGAUUUACUGGGUGUAAAGGGGGCGCAGACGGCGAUGCAAGCCAGGAGUGAAAGCCCGGGGGCCAACCCCGGGACUGCUCUUGGAACUGCGUGGCUGGAGUGCAGGAGGGGCAGGCGGAAUUCCUGGUGUAGCGGUGAAAUGCGUAGAUAUCAGGAGGAACACCGGUGGCGAAGGCGGCCUGCUGGACUGCAACUGACGUUGAGGCCCGAAAGCGUGGGGAGCAAACAGGAUUAGAUACCCCUGUAGUC